rnacentral:misc_RNA from 1 species
GCAAACUUGGUCAUUUAGAGGAAGUACAAGUCGUAACAAGGUUUCCGUAGGUGAACCUGCGGAAGGAUCAUUAACAAAUCGUAUUUGUGUGAUGUGAUUUUGUACACAACAUACAAAAUAUAUGUGCACCAGUGUAAAACUGGAAUGCAAUAUUCAUGAUAUAGUGUAAUAAUUAGUAGUGAAUUCAGAAUUUAAAACAUACUUUUAACAAUGGAUCUCUUGGCUCAUGCAACCUUGGUCAUUUAGAGGAAGUACAAGUCGUAACAAGGUUUCCGUAGGUGAACCUGCGGAAGGAUCAUUAACAAAUCGUAUUUGUGUGAUGUGAUUUUGUACACAACAUACAAAAUAUAUGUGCACCAGUGUAAAACUGGAAUGCAAUAUUCAUGAUAUAGUGUAAUAAUUAGUAGUGAAUUCAGAAUUUAAAACAUACUUUUAACAAUGGAUCUCUUGGCUCUUGCAUCGAUGAAGAACGCAGC